rnacentral:rRNA from 1 species
UUGGAGGGCAAGUCUGGUGCCAGCAGCCGCGGUAAUUCCAGCUCCAAUAGCGUAUAUUAAAGUUGUUGCAGUUAAAAAGCUCGUAGUUGAAUUUCGGGACCAAUUUGUUGGUCGUGCCUCGGUACGUACUGGUAUUAUUGGUUUCUCCCUUCUGAAGAACCUCGAUGCCAUUAAUUUGGUGUCGUGGGAAUCAGGACUGUUACUUUGAAAAAUUGAGUGUUUAAAGCAGGCAUACGCUUGAAUACAUUAGCAUGGAAUAAUGAAAUAGGACGUUUGAUUCUAUUUUGUUGGUUUCUAGGAU